UCUGCUGAUAUCAUCUUGCCGAUAGAAGUUUUCUACAGCCUCUGAAACAUUCUCUGGCAACUUUUUUCCAGUUUUUGGAUAAGGGGUAGCAAGGGUGCCUUUUUCCAAUGAUAAAUGCAUUGCUUGUGUAGCCAUUCUUUGAGAGCAGCCCAAGGUGGCCAUUAUUUCCUUUGACUCCAUGUUUGCACAAAAAUAGUCAGAACUGUUAUCUUUUCACUUCUACUUUCAGUGCUGCGAAAUUUUGCAAUUAGCUUUUGCACAAUUUCUGCUGGCAUUUCAUCUUCCUCAUCCCAAAGAAACAUCCAAAAUCAACGAUAGAGAGGAGCCACAUGCAGCAUCAAAUUUUCUUUCAAGGGUGUCACACACUCUUUUCUUUUUCUGAGAAAGGGAGCACAUCUUGACUUUAUUUUUUGUUGACUCAGAGGGCUUUCUCCGAUUUGCCCUAAAGUUUCAUUUAGGCUUUAAAUCUCGUAAACUAAAAAACUGCCUUUUCAGUAAUGUACUAAAUGCUUUCACCAAAGUCUGAAGUCUGUUUGAAGUUUCUAAAGCACGUUUCUUACAUUGGUUUUUUAUUUACUGUUUCCUUGUAAUAGACAGGUGCUAUUGAAGAGGACUUCCUGGUUUGACAAUUACAGGAUAAGAACAGCCAAUUUCAGAAAUUAUUUAAAAUUGAUGGGCAUUCUUAAAUCAUAAAGUUAAAUAACAUGUUUAGACUAAAAUUCACUAACAUGCCAUUAAUGGAAAGUUGUCAUUUCCUGAAUUAGCAGGAGGUUUUCAUUCAAUGAUUGCCUUGGUAGACUUGAUGCUGUUGCAGUGAAAACAGCAAUUUUAACACAUGGACCAAGAAGUCCUCUAAACUCUCCAACAAAUCCAAACCAUUUCCUGAAAGGAGUUCCUUGUGUUGCAGUUAGGCCCCUGCCAAAUAAAGAAAAAUUAAAUAUAGUAUUUAAUUAAUUUCAUAUACUGAACAUCUAAAUUGAGCCGUUUACAAGAUACCUAAACAAAAUAUGCUGUACUGCUAGUUACAUAAGGACUGAAGAACUUUGAUGAUUUGCUCUGAAAUGUGAUAAAUUAUUUAUUGCUUCUCAGUUUAAAAAUGACAGUUGCAAAAAGAUUUGAUUUAAAUAUGGAUUCAAGCUGAAUUUUCACUGAAUUUAUGAGCUGCCUUUAAAAACCUAAAUAAAGCAAUGUUUGUUUCUACAGGAUUUUUUCAGAAAUUCUUGAAUAAACACAUUUACAGAACUACAUUGCUUCAAAGCAUGUUUUUUCUCUAAUCACGGUGCUCAAUAGCUUGACACAAACAAUCAGAAAUGCAGGCAUUUUAUUCAUCUAGCCAUGUUAAUAUUAUAUUGUGGUGUACAGAAAUAUAGGGACUGCAUCUGUAUUUUUAAGCAUAUUUUAUUUGAAUUAUGUAUCCAUUAACAAGUUUUUUUCAGUAAACAAACUUUGCUGAUAGAUUUGCUUUUGUAGGCAAGAGUAAAAUGUUUCCUAUAUUUUCAUAAAUAUCAAAAUCGUGCACUUUUUCAAUACCUAUUCAUAAAAUCACAAACAAUGGCAAAGGACAAAGAACAUUAAUAAUUAAAAGGUAUACAUAAGGCAUGGUAGUUAUAUUUGGUAUAUACCACUGUGUAAUACAAUGUGCAUCGUCAAAUGCAACUGCAACACAUAGGAAACAUGUAGUUUCUGGAAACAUGUAGACAUGAGAAAUGUACGUCACUUCAGGAAGCUAGCAUUAACUCAGGUGAAGUAAAAAUGCAAGUGAAAUCUUGGCCAUAUUUGUUGUCUUUCAAAAUACUGUUCACAACCUCUUCUGUCUGAUCUGCAUAGAUUUCAUCUGGUUUCAACCCUAAACACUGGUCAAGCAUUAAUGAUUGCAGCGUUGAAACAACCAGAAUACAACUGGAUAUUGGAUUUUGAUCUAGCAAAUAGUCUUCAACAAGAGGGAUGGCUUGAAAAACGAAUGAUUUACCAUAUCCAGUUGGAGCACUGAAAUAGAGGACUUUGCCUUUUGCAACUUUUUGGAAUAUGAUUUGAUUGGCUACAAAACAAUAUUAAAAAAGUGGUUUGAACAAUAAACAAAGAGAUAUUGUUGUUCUUCAAAAAAAGGCAGGACAAGCUUUAACACUUUAUUUCACAGACUCUACUUUUCCCAUAGUCGAGUCUGCACACAGGCUACAUGCUGAACGCCAAAACAUCGAAACUGUGAAGGAUGUUGCUUGCGAAACAUCAACAAGAGUUAGACCGAAACUGAGAAGAAUGUUGUUUGCAAACCAUCAACAAGAGUUAGGCUGUCAGCCCAUGAUCUCAGGAUAGUGAGUACAACAUUAAUUAUUAUAGGUCAAUAUCUACCAAAACAAUCGUUUUAAGCAUGCAAAAUCUGUGGACCUCUACAGAAGUUCAUUUGGCGCAGUCACCCACUAGUCCUUGGGAAGUAUCCUGCAGGAGAUAUUAUGACAAGUUUUGGUGUGCUGAUGUCAGGAGUCAAAAUCAACCAAACCUUGUUGAUGUUGAAACAUAUGGGAUUACCUUCUAUUUCAAGGAGAAUGUGUUGCUACUAACAAAGAAAAUUCCACUUCCCAAUGAUACAGAAGGUUUUGAAAGCUUAUCAAGACAACUUGCUCAAACAAAAAAGUGGAUGGUAGUACAUGGAGUGGAGAUCGAAGAUUUGAUUCCUUGAAUCAUAGUGCCAAGUAUGGCACAUAUUCCCUUUAUAAAAACAACAUUUCAGAAAUAGCCCACAUUGAACUUCUUCAGUUCAAUCAGUUGGGAAGCAACACAAAAAUUGAGCUUGAUGGAACAAAGAUAUAUAUUGCAUUUAUUGAAAAAAAUUCCUUGCUUACCAAGGCACUAAUAACUGAUCGACAUAAAGAAUUGGCAAAGUGGAUGAGAAAAAAACAUCCAGAAAUACAGCAUUUCUUUGACAUUUGGCACAUUACCAGUUAUAUAGAACUGUGUUCACCGGAAUGUUGGAUUUUUUUGCAAACUGACUUUGUAAGGAAUGGCAGGAGUUUUUGCAAUGCCUCUGUAUUAUGCUGCUCAAUCUUUCGACUCAGCUCUGAGACAGUAGUACUUUUCACAUUUUGUUCAGAUUCAGUGUAAAUUGAAUGAAUUUGUGGCAGCAGCCAACCAUAGAUGAGUAAGGUAUAUGUCAGAUUGUUGCCAAUUACCAAUUCAAAUUUGGGAAUCAUACAUUCUUCCUCAAAGAGCUUUAGUCUCUGCUGGUUACUCACUGCCUCUAGAUGCCAAGCUGGAAUCUUAAGUUUAGCAGCUCUUUUUAUUAGCAGCCUUCCGAACUUUGGUACAAAUCAGUUUUUGCCUGUUCCACCACUCGGUUUUGAACUACACUUCUAUGUUUGUAUUCUUUGAUGGGCUUCGAUGGGUGGGACAUCUCUGGCAAGUUCUCUGUGUGUAAAGCACCAAACCGUAGCACUUUCCUGCCAGUGUCUAAUGGAUAAAAAGGAAUUCAACUUAUUUUGUAGCAUACAAAUAAUGUGUUUUCUGUUUAAAUGAAUUAAAUACAGCAGAAUCUAGCAAAUCUAGGAAAUCAAACCCCACAAUAUAAGAGAAUUACAAAUGAUCAUAAAAACCACCAAAAUCUUCUUCAAAACCUUUUUGGGAAACAGAAAGACUUUCUCUUGAAAAAUUUAAAUAACUAAGCUUAUUGUUACGUCGUAUAUAUGGAUAACUGACACAUUUUUUCUAAAGUUUACAGUGAAAAAUGAUUUGAAAAAUUAAAUUGCUACGUUCUAAUUUGGCCUGAGCAAAGCAGACGGGUUGUGCAUUUGUUUUUUGUCUAAGUAGAAGCAUCACACCAGACUUAUUCUUAGUCACACCAGACUUACUUGUGAACUCAAUAUCCUCCAGUUUUUAGUGCCUCUCGCAUGUCCAUACAUUUCCUGAUGCCAUCAGCUGCUUGAAGUUGGAAUCUUCUUGGUGGUACUUGGUUAAGACAUCAAACACAGCCUUCCUCCACAAAACAUAUCGCUCACUUGAUCGCAUGCUGACUUG